rnacentral:rRNA from 1 species
UACGUAGGGUGCAAGCGUUGUCCGGAAUUAUUGGGCGUAAAGAGCUCGUAGGCGGUCUGUCGCGUCUGCUGUGAAAACUCAGGGCUUAGCCCUGAGCUUGCAGUGGGUACGGGCAGACUAGAGUGCGGUAGGGGAGACUGGAAUUCCUGGUGUAGCGGUGAAAUGCGUAGAUAUCGGGAGGAACACCAGUGGCGAAGGCGACUACCUGGCCUGUUCUUGACGCUGAGGCGCGAAAGCUAGGGGAGCAAACGGG